rnacentral:rRNA from 1 species
UGGGGAAUUUUCCGCAAUGGGCGAAAGCCUGACGGAGCAAGACCGCGUGAGGGAAGAAGGUCUGUGGAUUGUAAACCUCUUUUGACAGGGAAGAACGAUGACGGUACCUGUCGAAUCAGCCUCGGCUAACUCCGUGCCAGCAGCCGCGGUAAUACGGAGGAGGCAAGCGUUAUCCGGAAUUAUUGGGCGUAAAGCGUCCGUAGGUGGGGGUCCAAGUCAGUUGUUAAAGAGUGGAGCUUAACUCCAUAAGGGCAAUUGAAACUGGGUUUCUAGAGUGCGAUAGGGGGCAAGGGGAAUUCCCAGUGUAGCGGUGAAAUGCGUAGAUAUUGGGAAGAACACCGGUGGCGAAAGCGCCUUGCUGGGUCUGCACUGACACUGAGGGACGAAAGCUAGGGGAGCGAAAGGGAUUAGAUACCCCUGUAGUCCUAGCUGUAAACGAUGGGUACUAGGCGUUGUCCGUAUCGACCCGGGCAGUGCCGUAGCUAACGCGUUAAGUACCCCGCCUGGGGAGUACGCUCGCAAGAGUAG